CUGGACGACAUGAACCGUUUUUGUUGCACAUUCAGGAGCCCGCAUGUGGAACACUGCAGGCGUCGUCGGUUCACUUCGUGUCUGCUGUGGAGCUCCACACCGAGUAGCCGCAGUGUCUGUUUCCUACUAAAGCUGCUUGCAGCAUACGAAGCACAUAUCCCCCAGAUAUAGCCAAGAUUAAAGGAUGUAGCCGUUGCAUCUGGAACACACAUACCGACAAACUCACAAAGGGCUCUACAUCUGCCUCUUUCAACCCAACUACCUGCAUGUCUUCCC